AUUGAACGCUGGCGGCAGGCCUAACACAUGCAAGUCGAGCGAGCGGCGGACGGGUGAGUAAUGUAUGGGGACUGCCCGAUAGAGGGGGAUAACUACUGGAAACGGUAGCUAAUACCGCAUACUAUCGGAUAACCCAUAGGGGAUUAGCUAGUAGGGUAGGUAAUGGCUCACCUAGGCAACGAUCCCUAGCUGGCCUGAGAGGAUGAUCAGACACAAUGGGACUGAGACAAGGCCCAGACUCCUACGGAGGCAGCAGUGGGGAAUAUUGCACAAUGGGCGGAAGCCUGAUGAAGCCAUGCCGCGUGUAUGAAGAAGGCCCGAGGGUUGUAAAGUACUUUCAGUCGGGAGGCGUUACCGACAGAAGAAGCACCGGCUAACUCCGUGCCAGCAGCCGCGGUAAUUC
rnacentral:rRNA from 1 species